UGGGGAAUAUUGCACAAUGGGCGCAAGCCUGAUGCAGCCAUGCCGCGUGUGUGAAGAAGGCCUUCGGGUUGUAAAGCACUUUCAGCGAGGAGGAAGGUGGUGAGCUUAAUACGCUCAUCAAUUGACGUUACUCGCAGAAGAAGCACCGGCUAACUCCGUGCCAGCAGCCGCGGUAAUACGGAGGGUGCAAGCGUUAAUCGGAAUUACUGGGCGUAAAGCGCACGCAGGCGGUUUGUUAAGUCAGAUGUGAAAUCCCCGGGCUCAACCUGGGAACUGCAUUUGAAACUGGCAAGCUAGAGUCUCGUAGAGGGGGGUAGAAUUCCAGGUGUAGCGGUGAAAUGCGUAGAGAUCUGGAGGAAUACCGGUGGCGAAGGCGGCCCCCCUGGACGAAGACUGACGCUCAGGUGCGAAAGCGUGGGGCAGCAAACAGGAUUAGAUACCCUGGUAGUCCAGCGCUGUAAAACGAUGUCGAUUUGGAGGUUGUGCCCUUGAGGCGUGGCUUCCGGAGCUAACGCGUU
rnacentral:rRNA from 1 species